rnacentral:rRNA from 1 species
AUUGAACGCUGGCGGCAUGCCUUACACAUGCAAGUCGAACGGUAACAGGCCGCAAGGUGCUGACGAGUGGCGAACGGGUGAGUAAUAUAUCGGAACGUGCCCAGUCGUGGGGGAUAACGCAGUGAAAGCUGUGCUAAUACCGCAUACGAUCUACGGAUGAAAGCGGGGGAUCGCAAGACCUCGCGCGAUUGGAGCGGCCGAUAUCAGAUUAGGUAGUUGGUGAGGUAAAGGCUCACCAAGCCAACGAUCUGUAGCUGGUCUGAGAGGACGACCAGCCACACUGGAACUGAGACACGGUCCAGACUCCUACGGGAGGCAGCAGUGGGGAAUAUUGGUCAAUGGGCGGAAGCCUGAACCAGCCAUGCCGCGUGCAGGAUGACGGCCCUACGGGUUGUAAACUGCUUUUCCCCGGGGCGAAGUAACCCCCUCGCCGAGGGGAGUGCCGGUACCGGGGAAGUAAGGAAUCGGUUAACGUACCGUGCCAGCAGCCGCGGUAAGCACG